CUCCCCCGCCGCUCCCUGCCCCUCCGAAGACGCGGUCCUUGGCGUGGAAGGCCCGGGGCUUCGUCGCCCUGUCGCGAUGGCGGGGUGACCGCCCCGUCUCGCUCACUGAGGGGGGCUGGGGAGGGUCCCGAGAGGCGACGGGAACCCGGGCUGUGACGCGGCCUCUUCUCGGAGUGCCCGUGGCCCCGCGGCGCUGCCAUUCAGGCCCGGCGCGGGCGCGGGCCGGGGCUGGGUCCCGCGGGGCUGGACUUGGGAGCGGGGUCUCCGGCUCCCGUGGCUCUAGGGGUGCAGGGGACCCGAGCGGGGAGCCGUGCGCAUCCUUUGUGCCCCACUUCUCCCCUCCUCCCAGCCUGGGCGUGGGGGCGGGGGACCGCAUGGAUGCGGUUCCUCUUUCUCUCCCUGGUGUCUGGGCGGCGCCUUUCUCAUUCACUCAGCAGGUCUCCCGGUUUUCCACCUCCCCAGCGCCCCCAAAAUCUUCCCCACUGUCUGUCCCGACACAUCCCUGAGAAUCUUCCCAGAAACAUUGUAUAGGGUCUCUUGAAAACCUGAGCUCCGUGGUGCAAAAUCGAAACCACCUUGCUCACGUUUUUCUUAACAAAAGGCUCUUCUUUCUCCAUUCCCCCAAAGCAAGUCCUCCGGCUUUUAGGAAGGGGGAACGUUUGUCUCGCUAGCGUUUUCAUUGAUCAUUCUCAACAUGUCAUCUCCAUUUUAUUCCCUAAUGUUUUUGUAUUGAAAAGGGUAGGUAUUGCCUGUAAAAUAAAAGGUGGUGAAUGUAGCUGACUAGUUCGAUCCGUGCGACAUAUGCCAUUUCUUUUUUGAAUACAGGCACGCGUCUGUUGAAAUUCCUGUAAGUUGGGGGAAAAAAUAUUCUGUCUGAUCUGAUAGUGCAAACAAAGCCGUGGUGAGAGGCAGUAUCAAGUCAUUCCAGAAGAUUCUGCAUUUGUCAUAUUGCAGAGAGCCUAGACUGGGUGGAGGCUGGGAGGAGUUAUUUUAAAGGGGAAAAAGUCUUUUUAAAAAUUUUUGGUUGUUAGAUGCCUCUGAGGCUUUUUUUUUUUAAAGCGAGUACAUCUUCAUGCUGAUGAAAAGAGAAUACCGAUCUCCAGUUGUCGCAUUUUGUCUGGGUUGCAGAUUCAUCCCUGUAUUGCACCAUUUUGUCAGUAACAGCACAUUUAUCUAAUGGGCUGUCAACCAGUUUGAUAUUAGAGGAGGGGGAAGUAUUGAACAUUAUGAAAUGAAAGGUAGAAAAUUAAUCUAAUGAUUUCGGGCCCCCACUGUCUUAAUAUUUAAUUUCCUGCCUUAUGUAACAAAGCUUUUCAAAUUCAUCUCCAUUGUGAAGUGGAUGCUGGAGUGUACCUUGCGUGUUACAUCUUUUAAAUGAAGGAUUAUUGAUAUUACAGAUCAAUUCUUGAAUAACUUUACUGGUUCUCAAAAGAGGACAAUGCUGAUACCUUUGUUUUUAAACCAGCUAUAUUAACAAAGAAAGGUUUUUGUCUUAUUAAAGAACAGAACUGAUUCUGAAAUUCGGAAUACUGCUGUGGCCACAGUCGCUGUCUUACAAGGUUUUAAUGCUUAAAUGAUUUCCACAGGAAAGCGAGUGACCUCGCACCUAUAUCCAUAGCAACCAAGUGAUGUCACACACAAUGACACAGAGGCUGCAAUGCACCUAAGGGCUGGUAGGGAGUGUGCAAAUGGCAUUUAUCCAAGGUAAUGCAGAAAUUAGCCGAUAAGCCAGGUGGAAUCGAGCACUUCAUAUUCCACCAGAUAAGAAUUAGUCCAAAAAAUAAGGAUAUCAUUUACCCUUAGACAUGCAAAUCCGUGACCUCUAGCUAGGCCUCGUUCACGCUAUUGCCAGCUUUCUCACAAAAGUUUAUAAGAUGCUUUUUUAUAUUUUUAAACAUUCAUCUCAUUUAUUUAAAAUACUGGGCAAUGAUGGAAUAAAAGUAGAAGUUUUAAACGAUAAUUUAUGGAAUAAAAGUAGCAAUUUUAAACAAGAAUAUAGUUUAUGACACUAGUGCAGAGACGGGAUGUAUACUUGUGUUUAUUGCAGAUAAUUAAUUUGGCAGGUUUUAAUAAAAACCUUAAAAAAAUGAUGACUUCCUAUUGAGUCAUUUUCAGUUACUAGUAGGGAAUGAAAACCCGUUCCAAAGCCUUUUAAGUUGAGAUUUGGGAAGUUUGUUUUUUACUAGAUUUGUGCUUCUGCUCCUUCACAAUAUAGAGGAAAGAACAGUUUGUAAAAUAAAAACCUUUUUUCAAAUCUGUUUCCUGUGACUUUAAGGAAAUAGGCUCUGUCCCUCAUCUUCCUCGUCUGUGAAAUGGGACAAUACUUGAAACAGUUGUGCAGAUUCAAUAAGAAAUGUAGUAGGUGUUCCAAAUGGCAACUACCUAAGAAAUUUUCUUCCUGUUUAUAAAAGUCAUCGUGGGGAAUUUGGAAACUGCAGAGAAAGAAACCAAUCUUACCACUCAAUUGAGCUCUCUUUUAAGGCCGAAAUCAUCCUUAAUGAUGAUAGAGGGAUUAAAAUUUAUUUGAGUUUAAUGAAAUUAUCCUAGUGCUAACACUAUUGGGAUCUGUGCAGAAUGAUAGUUCUUUGUGGGUAACCAGGACAGAAAUACUGUAUUGUGCAUAUUUUGAAAA